AUCCCUUGAAGACAUUGUUUUAUAAGAUUUUCUAAAAAAAGGAUUUGAGAGAAACAAUUGUGCUGUGCAGUGCCUGGGAAACCAAGAUAUAAAUUUCGUAUCAUCUUCAGUCCAGUUGGAUAGGUACAUUUCAGAAUGUUUUUUGUUUAAGAGAGAGAUUAGUAUCAUUAUACCAUCUCUCUCUGGUUCCAAAGUUGCUUCACAUUUGCUGAUUUCAGUUUAACACAUUGCUGUGUGUUGGCACCGAAAUGACACACUUGUAUCAGGAUACUUUGGAGGACAACUUUGUUUUGGGAAUUUUUCUGGAGGUGACAGCCGAAGACGUGUUCUCAGUUAUUGAUUCACUAUUGUUCCAUCCCUAGUGAAAGGCUGCUUGUCAGAGCCACCUGCCAGCCUUGUUUUCUGUUAUUAGGAUAUUUCCCAAUAUUUUACCAAAUGCAGCUAAUGAAAAGCAAACUCGCGGAUGAGAAUCUGCAGGUCUUCUGCAAUGUCGACAGUCGUACUCUGAACACGAACUAAUCGCAGUCUUCAAGAACAGGAGAUUAAGAUUCCUCCUGGCAAAGUGGAGCUUCACUCGAUCAAGAUGCACGAAUGAGAAUUCAGCUUCUCAGUCGAUACAUUGAAAAUAUGUAGCGCUUUUGCCGUUCUUGUCUGGAAAUGACUCGCAACGGCGUCGAGUCCAUCGAUUUCAGCAAAUCCGACGCCUUCUGUAGGAUCCGAUACUGUCUUGGCCGCUGAUGAAUCCUAUCGUCUACGUCUUCGAAUCCUACCGUCUACGCCAGUUGACCUCCCACAUUCUAGUCAUCAUCAAUCUGACGAUCUUGCCAUGCCACCAAUAAUCGUGAAGCAGGAGCAUGAGCCGGGAACAGCAACAGGGGUCCAAUCCUUGAAAGUGAUUUGAAGUUCCAAAGCAGAUGUCGAAUUGCCGUGAGAUUGCGAGCUUAUUCGCCCAUUCAAUACCUCCGAUUCACCAAUUAUUUGUUUUGCCCUUUGCGUCUCAUUGUGCUUCAACAUGACCGCGAUACUCCGACGCAAUUUUGUUGCCGGAAGGAUUCCACAUUCCCCAUUCGGAAAUUGAGCCUUAAUUAGAAUGGCACCACCAAUCAAUCCGGUCAAACAGAUUGAUCCACAGCCGGGAACUUCGAUUACCUCAUUGAAAUUGAAUUUACUGAUUUGAAAUUUAAGGAAAUUUAGAUUGAAUCCAAGUUUAGAUCGAAUUCUUUCGAAUGCUAGCGAUGUUCUACUUCACACCGGACUGCCGCAUUCUCCACUGGCAUAGACUUUAAAACCAAUGAGAUCCUUUCCGACUAAUCACUUGACAAAUCCACAUCGGAAGCCGCUGCUCCUGUCAAUCUUGAAAAGGGAUAGUUUACCGGUAAGGAUCAUUUGUGCUUAUGGUAAUAUGGAGGUGACGUCUUUUGAUGGGGCACCUGGAGUCACAUUUUCGGCCUCAGCGGCAGACAAUGCCAUCAGUAGUAGUAGCUACGUAUCGUCCGUAGGCCUCUAAUGAUCUUCACAGCAUCCGCCGUUGGAGAGCCAGAAGACUUUGAAAGAGCUCGUUCUUUCGAUUCGACGAGUCUAGGACUUGACAUCAGAGAUUGACGACGAGAGAACACCAAACUGGAUGGAAGAAGAAUAAGAUCCAGGAAGCAAAGAAAAUAACUGGACAGACUGCUUCAAAACGCUGAACGGAAGAAGAUUGCGAGCAAGACCGACAUCAAAUAGAUUUAUUAUAUUUUAAAAAUUUGAAGUGCAUAUUUGGGCUCCCUUCUUUCCAAUGCCCCGUUUCCCCUGUGACUGAAUAUAUUUGCCCUUGUUGUGUCACUCCAUCGCUGUGAGGUUGGGAGGGCUCUGCUCGAACGGAGACCAUGUGGAAGUCCUGCUCCAGAUCCGAGCAGGGAUCCGGGGCUAGCCAUGCACCUCCUAGUAAGAAUAUUCGCUCCCGUAAAACUUACCUCGAAACUCUUGGUUAAUUUCGGUUUAGUCUUAACCAAGUGCCACCCAGGCAAUUACAGAAGUCGGCCCUCUACUCAAAGUAGUGGUCACCCCCCCACUAUUUUGAUGGGACGCAACUAAAAUUGAACUUUGGUCUUGAACCGGACGCUCUUUUUAUUGAAUUAAAACGACAUUUUUGUAAAACAAAGCCAUAGUAAUAAAUUUAACCAGUUUUUUUUUAA
rnacentral:lncRNA from 1 species